rnacentral:lncRNA from 1 species
AUCAGUAUAAUUAAGCAAAGUUGACAGACUAUCUCAGAUGCAAAUAUCCUACACUAAACACAAUGUUUGGCUAAAAUAUUCACAGCUGAUAAAUCCAUUAAUAGCUAUUUUAGAAAUAUGUCAGGGAAUUUUCUGGAGGGUUUCAUGCUAUGUAAGGUUGUUUCAGAGAUAGUACUUUUGAAAUAAGAACUAAGAACUAGAAGACUGAUGCCCCUCCCAGCUGGAAAGGCAGCUAUGUGCCUGUCAGCAGCUUUGUUCACCACAUACCAGCCCCCUAGCAAUCAUAAAGCAAGCAGGCACCUACAUGACUGUCAGCAGCUCCCCUCAUGACACAUCAGCAAUCUUGUCUAGCAGCCCCCUUUCCCCUAGUCGGAAUUGCCUCUUAUCAGUUCCACUUCUGUUAAUAUUGCUUGCUACCCAGGAAAGGGGGAGGGCCAAGGCUGCUGGCAUGGGAAACCUUCAGACCCUGAAGUCUGUAUUGCUGAAAUGUUACCCAGAACAAAGUCCUGGUACUCAGACUUUGGAGGUGACUCCUCUGAACCCGCAGGGGUGCUGAAUAAACCUUGCUAUAGAUCACAUCUCCGAGUGCUGCUUGUCUCUUUCCGCUGCCAUGAGCGGAAACAGGUUCCAGGACAAGACAUCAGACUGGUGAGUGCCCUGGAGUCAUUUGCCUGAGUCAGGACACGCCAUACAGUGGAAGGAGAGACUGAUCACCUCUCAGUGACCAGAGAGUCACUCAGGACAGGAUUUAUUCCCUUGGGAUCGGGUGGCUUGUCAAUUCUAGUGUGCAUGUGUGAGUGACUGGAGUGAACGAGAGCCCGUGCUCCACCAUCCUUGGACUAAUGUAUGGUUAGGAAUUCUAAGAAAGGAUUUUCUGAAGAUUAUGGUGUUAAACUUAGUUCUGGAAAACUGCGCACUCUCUGUACCCUAGAGUGGCCCUCCUCCAGGGUCAGAUGGCCCUCACAAGGGACCUUAGAUGUGCCCAAGGUUCCAGGGGUUAUAACAGGAGAAGACCCUGGACACCCAGAUCAAUUUCCAUUCAUCCAUCAAUGGUUAGAAGUUGCCUGGUUGAGGCCUCCUUCUGUAUCACAGGCCUGGGACAGUGUAAGGGCCUAGUAGCUCAGUCCAAGAAGAAAACUUUUCCAUGACAAAAAGAGCCACCUUCAAGGAGAGGCCAAAGACUCACCCCUUGUGCUGCCUCCCUAUGAGCUACCAGCCACAGCCCCUCCUUUGGGGUCCCAAAGCCCCCAAUUGCCAGACAGCCCACUGCCUUCUGUUUCUCCCUCUCCCCCUCCUGAAGUCCCCAAGGCAGUGCUGCCCCAACAUCGGAACUGGUGAGCUGGUGUCUCUAGUUGAACUAGGGAGCAGCUGCCCAGCAUUACAAAUGCCUUUGCGGGAGACACAGGGACCACAGCGUAUUGCCCCUUAUGGGACCAUACAAGAGAGGGGACCAGUUUUUAAUUACCAGCCCUUUUCCACAACAGACCUUCUCAACUGGAAGCAUUACAGUCCCUCUUACUCUGAAAAGCCUCAGGCACUGAUCGACCUCUUAGAAUCCAUUUUUCAGACACAACGCCCUACGUGGGUGGACUGUCAGCAGCUCCUGAAGAGCACCGAUGAAUCAUUAUGGAAGCCAGGAAUGGCUCCAAACCAAUGCCCCAGGGGAUCAAUUAGACAUGGAAAACUGGGCAAGGGAUGCUUUCCCAGAGGAAGAGCCCCAUUGGGACCACAACACCGAAGGGGAAAGAAAUAAUUUAGGGAGGUACAGACAGGCCCUCCUAUAGGGGGUAAAGAUGGGGGCUAAAAAGCCUACUAACAUGGCCAAGACCACUGAGGUACUACAAAAGUCAGAUGAAAGCCUGGCCAACUUCUAUGAGAAGCUAUGUUAGGCUUUUUGAGUUUGAUCCCAAGACCCCCAAGGCCCCCAAGUACCAAUGGAUGAUAAACACUGCCUUUGUGGGACAGGCCCAAUCUGAUAUCUGUAAAAAGUUACAGAAAUUAGGAUUUGCAGGAAAAAAUGCCACAAAGUUACUAGAGAUAGCCAACAAGGUUUUUGUUAACUGUGACCAGGUGGCCUGCUGUGGCAUGGAAAAGAGUAGGAAACAAAAAGCUGUGCUUCUGGCGGCAGCCCUAUCAAAAAUGGUACCCCCAGCAGGACCACCCGUAAGCCAUGGGGCCCAAGGCCAGGAUAAAGGGGCCCCUUUGGACACAAUCAAUAUGCCUACUGCAAAGAGAAGGGACACUGGAAAAAUGAAUGCCCCGACUGUCCUGAGAGAAAGACCAAGGCAGCAGCCCCACUUAGCCAGUACCAACCCAAGACACCCAGCAUGAGUCUGAUCGGCUUAGCUGAAGCAGAGUCCAACUAGUGGAGAGUGGGCUUUCUCCAACUGGGCCCCUGAGACACCAUGGUCAGAAUUCAAGUAGGGGGCUGACCCAUAGACUUUGUGGAAGAUAUAGGUGCUGAACAUUUGGUGGUCACACAACCCAUGCCCCCCCCCCUCCCCGGGGAAAGAAUCUGCCAUCAUCAGGGCCUCAGACAACCAAACCCGCAGGCCCUUCUGUGGUCCCCGACAGUGCCAGUUAGGAGGCCAUGAGGUAAUACAUGAAUUUCUUUACCUGCCUGACUGCCCAGUCCCCUUGAUGGGAAGAGACCUGCUGGCCAAGAUGGGGGCUCAAGUCUCCUUCUCCACUGAUGGAUCAGCUCAACUCAAAUUAGCAGAACUGCCCUUUUCUUUAAUGAUGGCUCUCACUAUAAGGAGGGAAGAAGAAUGGCGCCUGUGCUCUUCCUCUCCACAAGAGAGGAUGGUUCCGCUGGAACUAGAGACUGAGUACCCAUUGGUUUGGGCUGAGGGAAACCCUCUGGGACUAGCAAGAUGCCAUGCUCCUAUCUUGAUUGAUCUGAAACCUGGAGCUCAACCAGUAAAGCUGCAGCAGUACUUGAUUCCCAGAGAAGCUUGACCAGGAAUCCAGGCACAUCUGGAUAGGCUACUUCAGCACAGGCUUUUAACAAAGUGCCAGUCACCCUGGAACACCCUCUUAUUGCUUGUAAAGAAAUUGGGAACACAAGACCACCACCUGGUUCAGGACCUGAGGGCCAUAAAUGAAGCAACAAUCACAUUAUACCCGUCUUUACUUAACCUGUACACCUUGCUGGGGUUAAUCCCUUCCACUACCAAGGAGUUCACUUGCCUGAACUCAAAAGAUGCCUUCUUCUGCCUCUAAGUGGCAUCUGCAAGUCAGCCCUUGUUGCCUACAAGAAUUCAAAACCUCUCCCACUCUUUUCAGCAGUGCCCUGGCUACUGAUGUGGCUGAAUUCCCUGGACAAAAACUAGACUGUGUCUUGCUGGAGUAUGUUGAUGACCUCUUGGUGGCCAGCACCAUGCAGGCUCAAUGCCUAGAGGGAACAAAAGCUCUCCUCUCCCUACUAAUGGAAGUAGGGUAUCAGGUAUCAAAGAAAAAGGCACAAAUCUUAAUAAACAAGUCAAAUAUCUGGGCUUUAACAUCAUGCAGGGCCGAAGAAUAUUGGGGACUGAGAGAAAACACACAAUUUGUGCCAUUCUGGCCCCUAUCACCCGCCAGAAAGUUCAUGAGUUCCUAGAGGCAGUGAGAUUCUGCAGGACAUGGAUCCCCAGAUUUUCAGAUGUGGCCAGACCUCUGUAUGAAGCCACAAAAGGGGAAGAAAAGGCUCCCCUUGAAUGGGGACCAAGCCAGAAGGCAGCCUUUCAGCCAAUCAAAACCAAACUCACUGAGGAUCUGGCCUUAGGACUUCCCGAUGUAACCAGAGAAUUUAACCUCUUUGUUCAUGAGAAAAAUGGGAUGGCUUUGGGAGUCCUAACCCAAGAGUUCAGGCCUUGGCAGAAGCCGGUGGCAUAUCUGUCUAAGCAAAUUGACUCAGUUGCAGCUGGAUGGCCUCCCUGCCUCUGAGCUCUGGCAGCUACCACCUUGUUAGUAAGAGAGGCUGACAAGUUGACACUAGGACAGAACCUCAACAUUAAAGUCCUGCAUUCAGUUGUAAUCCUGAUGGACAAUAGGGGCCACCAUUGGCCAAUGCAUGCAUGAAUGACUCAGUAUCAAGGGUUACUAUUUGAGAAUCUGCAGGUAAGGUUGGAAGCUGUACGAACUCUUGAACCCAGCCACCUUUCUACCAGAUGAAGUGGGGCCCCCAGACCAUAACUGCUUAGAAGUACUAGAUGUUUUCCAGCAGGCCUGACUUAACUGACAGACCACUCCAAAAUCCAAACCUGGUUCUAUGUACUGAUGGCAGUAGCUUCAUGGAAUAGGGUAAAGAAUGGCAGGAUAUGCUGUGGUGUCUGACUCAGAAGUGAUGGAAGCAGAAGUGCUUCCUCAAGGUUGGUCAGUGCAGAGAGCAGAAUUAUGGGCAUUAAUCAGAGUGCUGGAGCUCAGCUGAGAUGAGUGAGUUAAUAUCUAUACUGACUCAUGGUAUGCCUUUGCAACUUUACAUAUCCAUGAAGCCUUAUAUAAGGAGAGGAAACUGCUGAAGGAAAAGGGAUCAAAAACCAAGCUAAAAUCCUAAAGUUCCUGGAGGUAGUAUGGGAAUCUAAAGAUGUGGCAGUUAUACACUGCAAAGGCCACCAAAAGGGAGGUGACCCAGUGGCAAAAGGAAACCACAACACUGGUGCAGCUGCCAGACAAGCAGCCAAAGGGCAAUCACCGGACAAAAACCCAAAGUCCUGUUGGCCCCAGAAAUACCGACUAUCCCCAAGUACUCUCUAGAAGAGGAAAAGUGGAUAGAAGAGGAAAGGGGAACCAAAACAAAGAUGGGAUGGUGGGUCACACAAGACCACCAGGAUUAUCUUCUGGAACAGCUGGCCUAGAAACUAGUCCCCCGGCAACACAAACUGACCCACAUGGGCAAAACUGCCUUAGAGAUCUUACUAGGUAGGUACUAUCUUAUUGCACGUCUUCCCGCACUCUGCUCCUCCAUCUCCCAAUGGUGCAUAACUUAUUUACACAAUAACUCUUUCCAAGGGCCUAGCAGACCAGCUGGGACACAAAACUGUGGACUGUCCCCAUUUGAGGAUAUGGAAGUAGACUUCACUGAAGUCACUCCGAGCAGGGUAUACAAAUACCUGCUAGUUUUUGUCUGCACCUUUUUGGGUGGGUAGAAGCCUUUCCAAACCUGAAUUGAAAAGGUAAGAGAAGUAACCAAGGCACUCUUGAGAGACAUCAUUCUCAGAUAUGGAAUGCCUGGGACCAUCGGGUCAGACAAUGGACUGGCAUUUGUGGCCAAAAAAGUGCAACAGGUGACAAGAGCCUUACAGAUCUGGUGGAAGCUACAUUCUGCCUGUCACCCUCAAAGCUCAGGGAAAGUAGAAUACAUGAAAUGAACCCUUAAGCAGACUCUAGCAAAAUUAUUGCAGGAGAUCAGCUUGCCCUGGGUUAAUAUGCUGCUGGUGGCCCUCCUAAAAGUGAUAUGCUACCCUGAGUGAGGAUAGGAUUCUUGCCAUUUCAAAUCUUAUAUGGAAGGCCACCUCCAGUGAUCAGUUUGAGAGGAAACACCAGAGAACUGGGGAGGCUUAUAUUUACAUAG